rnacentral:rRNA from 1 species
UACAGAGGGGGCAAGCGUUAUUCGGAAUUAUUGGGCGUAAAGGGCGCGUAGGCGGCCUUGCAAGUGACGGGUGAAAUCCCUCGGCUUAACCGAGGAACUGCCUGUCAGACUGCUCGGCUUGAGACCGGGAGAGGUGAGUGGAAUUCCCAGUGUAGCGGUGAAAUGCGUAGAUAUUGGGAGGAACACCAGUGGCGAAGGCGGCUCACUGGACCGGUACUGACGCUGAGGCGCGAAAGCGUGGGGAGCAAACAGG